rnacentral:rRNA from 1 species
CACCGCGGUUAUACGAGAGACCCAAGUUGAUAGUUUCCGGCGUAAAGAGUGGUUAAGAUAAAAUUUAAACUAGAGCCGAACGCUUUCAGAGCUGUUAUACGCCCCGAAAGUAAGAAGUUCAAUCACGAAAGUGGCUUUAUAAUUACUGAACCCACGAAAGCUAUGAAA